UACGAAGGGGGCUAGCGUUGUUCGGAAUCACUGGGCGUAAAGCGCACGCAGGCGGAUUGAUAAGUCAGGGGUGAAAUCCCGGGGCUCAACCUCGGAAUUGCCUUUGAUACUGUCUGUCUUGAGUUCGGGAGAGGUUGGCGGAAUUCCUAGUGUAGAGGUGAAAUUCGUAGAUAUUGGGAAGAACACCAGUGGCGAAGGCGGCUCACUGGCUCGUAACUGACGCUCAUGCACGACAGCGUGGGGAUCAAACAGG
rnacentral:rRNA from 1 species